rnacentral:rRNA from 1 species
UACGGAGGGUGCGAGCGUUGUCCGGAAUCAUUGGGCGUAAAGGGCGCGUAGGUGGCCCAGUAAGCGUGCGGUGAAAGCUCGGGGCUCAACCCCGGGUCGGCCGUGCGAACUACUGGGGCUGGAGCACUGUAGAGGCAGGCGGAAUUCCGGGUGUAGCGGUGGAAUGCGUAGAGAUCCGGAAGAACACCGGUGGCGAAGGCGGCCUGCUGGGCAGUUGCUGACACUGAGGCGCGACAGCGUGGGGGAGCAAACAGG